AGCCUAAAGCUUAGCCUAAGCCUAAGCCUGAGCCUGCGCCUAAGCUUUAGCCUAAACCAACGCCUAAGCCUAAGCCUAUGCCAAAGUUUAAGCCUAGGCCUAAGGUUAAGCCUAAUCCU
ensembl:ncRNA C17D12.13 ncRNA